CACUCUUUCCCUGGUGUUCUAAGUUCUGCAAGGGUAAAACGAGCAUUUCUGAAAUACAUAUGUUUGGCAAAUUUGCAGACGUAUGAAUGUGAGCUGGAUCAGAAAUCCCACCUCCUACCCUAGCAUCCAGGCGUGUGUGGAGCUGGCAGCAGCGAGGGCUGAUUCCUCACCUGGCUGGCUCUGUGCAUCCUCCCAGCCCUGUCCCCAGCCCUCCCGAGGAUGGUGCUGCACACUCCCCGAGACCCUUUACGGGAGCUCAUGUUCACCUAAUCAGCCAAUGUCAUCGUUUGUUUUUAAGGAAACAGGACUCCCGGGAUAAAAAGUUUCCUUUGUAACCAGACCAGCUCAGACUGGUUCAAACCAAGAUAGCCGACCAAACAGCUUCAAAAAGACCUUCAGCCUCAUUAUCAUCUCAUUUCCAUGCUCAGUGACACUCCCACCAGUGCCAUGACAGUUGGAAAUCGCCAUGACAAUGACUGGACAAAGCCAUAAAAAGACAAAAAGGAAAGUCGCACUCCAGUUCUUGGAAGCUCGCUGCCCGCUCCCGGAAAAGACAUGAAUAUUCUUCCCCUUGCUUGGCGUGUCCAACCCUUUCAUGAGAGAGUCCUCGUGUGUCAGCCUCCCCACCCCUCCCAGGCUGAGUGGAUUUGUGAGCCGUGCUCCCGCUUCUCAAUUCCAAGGCCAUGGAAUAAAGCCUGCACUGCGGGGUACUCACUUUCAGCUUCACGUAUUGGCUUCGUGACACCCAACAGGGAAAGCCCCUCUCUUUGGGGGGAAUGACUGUGUCGGAGACAAAACCACGCUGUCUUGAUUACUGUGGUAUUAUGGCAGGGCUUGAAGUCAGGUAUGUGGGUUCUCCAACUCUGUUCUUUCUUCUUCCUCACGGUGUUGGCUGUCCGAGGACUUUUGCCUCUCCAUAUGAACUUUAGACUCAGCUGGCAUAACCUGCAGAAUGGCUGGGAUUGCAGUGAGUCACCCCUUGGCUCUAAUAGCCAAAAUUCAUAAAAUGUGCGAACUCUCUUUGAAAAGAUGGCCAAUGAUUACACAAGAGAGAAUCCAAUUCCCAUUAACAAAUCUUAAUAUAAUACAUCCAACAAAACUAUGUCUAGAAACUAAGUGACAUCACACAUAUGCUUGUCAUAAUCACGUGUGUUGAAAACCGUGUUGAAAAGUGCGCCAGAUGCCAGUAGGGGCCAAGGGACGCUAACGCAUGCUGCGCUGGUGGUGGGGGGGGGGUGCUCCAUUGCAAACAGGUGACAGUUGGCUGACAAUCUUGAUCAUUUAUUUGCUGAUCAAAAAGGGAUCCUGCCAGUACUGUGCACCCUAACACAAUAUUUGGACCUUCAUAGGUGUAUUAGUCGGUUCUCAUGCUGCUAAUAAAGACAUACCCAAGACUGGGUAAUUCAUAAACGAAAGAGGUUUAAUGGACUCACAGUUCCACAUGGCUGCGGAGGCCUCACAAUCAUGGUGAAUGGCAAAAGAGGUGCAAAGCCGCAUCUUACAUGGCAGCAGGCAAGAGGCCCUGUGCAGAGGAACUCCCAUUUACAAUCCGUCAGAUCUCAUGAGACUUACUCACUAUCACAAGAACAGCACGGGAAAAACCCAGCCCCACCAUUCAAUUACCUCCCGCCAGGUCCCUCCCAAAACACAUGGGAAUUAUGGGAGCUACAAUUCAAGAUGAGCUUUGGGUGGCGACUCAGCCAAACCAUAUCGAUAUGUAAGCAUUUUACUGGGCUUUGGCUGUACUGAAGGAUUGAUUGGAGAUUUUAAGAUCAUACAUUAUAAUUUUUCCCAUUUAAAAUAAUGCAAAAUGUGUUCUUAGUUGGUGCGUCCAAGCACAGAUUCUGAAAUUUUGCCACAGGAUUCCAACGUUAAGAGAAAGCUCCGUGACACUUCGUGGCUCUGAUGGGUCAGACCUGGACUCGGGGAAUGGAGGGGCAGGGUUCGUUCCUCCUAAACCGCGGGGACUGAGGUGGGGCCCAACUGAUUACCCAAAAGAACACUGGGGUUCAUUUAGCAACAGAAUGGGAAAUGGAUACUGAAAAGCAAAAUAACACAUUUUACAAAAAUGUUUUCUGUCCAAGAGUUAAAUAUGUGACACAUCAA